GCAAACUUGGUCAUUUAGAGGAAGUAAAAGUCGUAACAAGGUUUCCGUAGGUGAACCUGCGGAAGGAUCAUUAUCGAUUCUAAACGGAUGUGCUGGCUAGCCUAAAAACUAGCAUGUGCACUCCAACCCUUCUCACACCCUUGUGCACAAUCCUCCAUUGAUGAUUUGAGAGUAGUAUUAGUUUAAUAGCUGAUACAAAAUUAUUUCAUCUUUGGUUUUAUAAAUUCAUAUUUAUAAAGAAUGUUAUCUUAAGCUUGUUUACUCAAGCUAUAAUAAUAUAACAACUUUCAACAACGGAUCUCUUGGUUCUCGCAUCGAUGAAGAACGCAGC
rnacentral:misc_RNA from 1 species